CAGUAGCCACGGGAAUACGAAGGGGGCUAGCGUUGCUCGGAAUUACUGGGCGUAAAGGGCGCGUAGGCGGCGCUCCAAGUUAGGCGUGAAAUUCCCGGGCUCAACCUGGGGACUGCGCUUAAGACUGGAGUGCUUGAGGAUGGAAGAGGGUUGUGGAAUUCCCAGUGUAGAGGUGAAAUUCGUAGAUAUUGGGAAGAACACCGGUGGCGAAGGCGGCAACCUGGUCCAUUACUGACGCUGAUGGACGAAAGCGUGGGGAGCGAACAGGAUUAGAUACCCCAGUAGUCCCUGUCUCUUAUAC
rnacentral:rRNA from 1 species